rnacentral:sRNA from 1 species
GCAAGUGAAAUACGGUACGAUAGAGGGAU